rfam:Gossypium arboreum cultivar AKA8401 contig_90501_1, whole genome shotgun sequence.
AUCCCAUGGUAAAGGCAUCUAUAAAGUAACUUAUUGAAUCUUUCCCAUGCCUCGUAUAGGGACUCAUCAUCCAAUUUUUGAAAAGUGAUGAUCUCAUUUUGCAACU